rnacentral:rRNA from 1 species
UUUGAANCCCNUUGGGUCCUUCCGGACCUGAGUAGAGUGGCGCACGGGUGAGUAACGCGUGGGUAAUCUACCCUUCAGCUGGGAAUAACCNNUCGAAAGGUGGGCUAAUACCGAAUAAUACGGCCGGGCUGCGGUUCGGUCGUCAAAGAUAGCCUCUGCUUGCAAGCUUUCGCUGAAGGAUGAGCCCGCGUCCCAUUAGCUUGUUGGUAGGGUAACGGCCUACCAAGGCGACGAUGGGUAGCUGGUCUGAGAGGAUGAUCAGCCACACAGGAACUGAGACACGGUCCAGACUCCUACGGGAGGCAGCAGUGAGGAAUCUUGCGCAAUGGGGGCAACCCUGACGCAGCAACGCCGCGUGAGUGAGGAAGGCCUUCGGCUCGUAAAGCUCUGUCGGAUGGAAAGAAACGGAUGCGGGUUAAUAGCCUUCAUCCCUGACGGUACCAUCAGAGGAAGCACCGGCUAACUCCGUGCCAGCAGCCGCGGUAAUACGGGGGGUGCAAGCGUUGUUCGGAAUCAUUGGGCGUAAAGCGCGUGUAGGCGGCUUGGUAAGUCAGGUGUGAAAGCCCUGGGCUCAACCCAGGAAGUGCACUUGAUACUGCCUUGCUUGAGUACNGGAGAGGAAAGCGGAAUUCCUGGUGUAGAGGUGAAAUUCGUAGAUAUCAGGANGAACACCGGUGGCGAAGGCGGCUUUCUGGCCCAAUACUUGACGCUGAAACCCNAAACGUGGGGAGCAAACA